AUUCCAGCUCCAAUAGCGUAUAUUUAAGUUGUUGCAGUUAAAAAGCUCGUAGUUGGAUUUCGGGUGGGUUCUAGCGGUCCGCCUAUGGUGAGUACUGCUAUGGCCUUCCUUUCUGUCGGGGACGGGCUUCUGGGCUUCACUGUCCGGGACUCGGAGUCGACGUGGUUACUUUGAGUAAAUCAGAGUGUUCAAAGCAGGCUUACGCCCUGAAUACUUUAGCAUGGAAUAACACGAUAGGACUCUGGCCUAUCUUGUUGGUCUAUAGGACUGGAGUAAUGAUUAAGAGGGACAGUCGGGGGCAUUCGUAUUUCAUUGUCAGAGGUGAAAUUCUUGGAUUUAUGAAAGACGAACUACUGCGAAAGCAUUUGCCAAGGAUGUUUUCAUUA
rnacentral:rRNA from 1 species